rfam:Clostridium collagenovorans DSM 3089 genome assembly, contig: EJ35DRAFT_scaffold00018.18
AUAAAUAUUUAAAGUAUUCCGUAGACAGUAGGUGCGAAAGCGUAAGAUGAUUCGCCUACCGAGGUUUCCAUACUUGUUGAUAGUAAUGGUCUCUUCGUAUGUCUGCGGAGAGGCUUUGAUUUUUAUAU